rnacentral:rRNA from 1 species
CCUUACCAGGUCUUGACAUCUCCUGACCGCCCUGGAGACAGGGUCUUCCCUUCGGGGACAGGAUGACAGGUGGUGCAUGGUUGUCGUCAGCUCGUGUCGUGAGAUGUUGGGUUAAGUCCCGCAACGAGCGCAACCCUUGGUUCUAGUUGCCAGCAUUCAGUUGGGCACUCUAGAGCGACUGCCGGCGACAAGUCGGAGGAAGGUGGGGAUGACGUCAAAUCAUCAUGCCCCUUAUGACCUGGGCUACACACGUGCUACAAUGGAUGGUACAAAGGGCAGCGAAGCGGCGACGCAUGAGCGAAUCCCAGAAAACCAUUCUCAGUUCGGAUUGCAGGCUGCAACUCGCCUGCAUGAAGCCGGAAUCGCUAGUAAUCGCGGAU